rnacentral:rRNA from 1 species
CAAUAGCGUAUACUAAUGUUGUUGCAGUUAAAAAGCUCGUAGUUGAACUUCUGGUAGGAGUGUCCCGGCCUUUUUGUUUUUACAAAUUGUAUGCUGUGUGACAUCUCUGGCCAUCCUUCUUCUUUGUUUAAAGAAGAUCUUUCACUGUAAAAAAAUUAGGGUGUUCAAAGCAAAAGUUUCUUUGGAAUAUAUUAGUAUGGGAUGAUAAGAUAGGCUCUAGAUGCUAUUUUGUUGGUUUGCACAUUAGAGAAUGAUUAACAGGGACAGUUGGGGGUAUUCGUAUUUACAUGUCAGAGGUGAAAUUCUUGGAUUUUGGAAAGACGAACUACUGCGAAAGCAUUUACCAAGGAUGUUUUCAUUAA